UACGUAGGGUGCGAGCGUUAAUCGGAAUUACUGGGCGUAAAGUGUGCGCAGGCGGCCGAGCAAGUCGAGUGUGAAAGCCCCGAGCUUAACUUGGGAACUGCGCUCGAAACUACUUGGCUGGAGUGUGGCAGAGGAAGGUGGAAUUCCACGUGUAGCGGUGAGAUGCGUAGAGAUGUGGAGGAACACCGAUGGCGAAGGCAGCCUUCUGGGCCAACACUGACGCUCAUGCACGAAAGCGUGGGGAGCAAACAGG
rnacentral:rRNA from 1 species